rnacentral:sRNA from 1 species
AGAGAAACGUGAAAACACUCCUACCUUAGGUCUGAGUGGAGGCUACUUGCAGUCGGCUAAAUCUCUGGCAGCAUUUGGUGGAUCUCUUAUUCAAGGAGUUGUGAAAGGUAAACGUAAGAGUGCUCUUCGCGAGAGUGUUGCUGACGUUGGCUUCAUAUUCUACCUAAUUCUGGCCCGAAUGAUAGACAUAGAUCCUGCCCUCCUGGACACCGUCAAAGUAACAGCUGAGAACAUGAAAGCCUUUGAAUAUUACAAGAAAAACUGUUGCUCUAUAGAGCUGGUCAAAGAUGAUAUUCUACAGAAAGUGAAUUUCAGGGUGAAAAAUAAAAGUGUAAUGAGAGAGGAAGUCAAAGAAAAACUCAAGUGGAACGUUGACAGAACAUCCCCCAGCAACA